rnacentral:rRNA from 1 species
UACGAAGGACCCGAGCGUUAUCCGGAUUUAUUGGGUUUAAAGGGCGCGUAGGCGUCCUGGAAAGUUACAGUCGAAAUCUCCUUGCUUAACAAGGAAACUGGCCGUAAAACUAUCAGGAUUGAGUACAUUUGAAGCGGGCGGAAUGUGUCAUGUAGCGGUGAAAUGCUUAGAUAUGACACAGAACACCAAUUGCGAAGGCAGCUCGCUAAACUGUAACUGACGCUGAGGCACGAAAGCGUGGGGAUCAAACAGG